GACGAACGCUGGCGGCGUGCUUAACACAUGCAAGUCGAACGGAAAGGCCCUGCUUUUGUGGGGUGCUCGAGUGGCGAACGGGUGAGUAACACGUGAGUAACCUGCCCUUGACUUUGGGAUAACUUCAGGAAACUGGGGCUAAUACCGGAUAGGAGCUCCUGCUGCAUGGUGGGGGUUGGAAAGUUUCGGCGGUUGGGGAUGGACUCGCGGCUUAUCAGCUUGUUGGUGGGGUAGUGGCUUACCAAGGCUUUGACGGGUAGCCGGCCUGAGAGGGUGACCGGCCACAUUGGGACUGAGAUACGGCCCAGACUCCUACGGGAGGCAGCAGUGGGGAAUAUUGCACAAUGGGCGGAAGCCUGAUGCAGCAACGCCGCGUGCGGGAUGACGGCCUUCGGGUUGGAAACCGCUUUCGCCUGUGACGAAGCGUGAGUGACGGUAAUGGGUAAAGAAGCACCGGCUAACUACGUG
rnacentral:rRNA from 1 species